UAGCACACCUACGUCGGGCCGACGUUGGCUUUGCAUCGGCAACCGCCGGCAAUAUCGGCAUCGGCAAACUGCAGCGGUCCGCUGUCAGGCCAAUGCUGGUGAUUGGCACUGACAUUGAACCUGAUAUAUGAUUUGAUCUUGUUAUGAUAACAUAAAAGAAAAAAACACAUUUGUCGAUUACAAUGUGACAAAUAAUAGAUCAAGUAUAUUUACGAAUAAUACAAUAAUUCUAUUCGAACUCAAAAUAUUAACUUUAUUUUUAAAUUUUAAAUUAAAUAGAUCAAGCACAUUCACUGACCAUUUUGGCUGCACAUAUACAACAGACAGAGAAGAUACAGACGGGAUUCGUCACAUCUUACAAUUCAUUCAGCAAAUUACAUGAUAUUGGCAAAAGUUUGGAAUAUCGCGAGCGGUUAUGUUACGUUGAUCCAACGUUUUCACAACAUGUUUCCAAGGGAAGCUACUCUUGUUAUAGAGGGCGCUGUUACUCACGCGCGUCUUUUCAAGCAGACGACGAAAGGAUGAUGCGUGGAGGGCUGAGGGAAAACCUAUUUUGCGAAAAUCAGAUGUUUAGCCAUUGCCUAUUGGCAAACAUGGAUGAGCUGAAUGAACUCUUAGCAGCUUUUCCAAAAUCGAGCAACUGAGAGAGAACUGAAGCUGAGGAGGAAGCCUGCAGCUGGGCUCUUACAAGCCACUGACAAGUACAUGGUGACCUGUGUAAAAGAAUGGCUUCGAGUUCCAGGAGCAAGGCUUAGAAAUGGCAUAAGGAAAACGCGUACUGAAAAACAGAGAUGUAGAUAGAGAAUCUGCAAACGAAAGUGCUGAAUUGCAACGGAACAAAGAAAUCCAAAAUGUUGGUGUUGACAACAUAUUUUUCACAGGGUUAUGACCCUUGUUUUUGAACUUGGUACAUAUUCUGCCAGGUUCUCUUGGACACUACUGAAGUUAAUAAAUGAAACUUUCCGUGCUUACCUAAGGUACAAACUCCAGAAGAUGGUUAUAACUUAUAAGAACUAAUUUUGUAUGGAGUUAUGGCCUUUGCUUCAUGCUA
rnacentral:lncRNA from 1 species